AUUGAACGCUGGCGGCAGGCCUAACACAUGCAAGUCGAGCGAGCGGCGGAGGGGAGAGUAAUGUAGGGAGCCUGCGCGAUAGAGGGGGAUAAAUACGGGACACGGGGGCUAAUACCGCAUACUAUCGGAUAACCCAUAUGGGAUUAGCUAGUAGGUGGGGUAAGGGCUUACCUAGGCGACGAUCUCUAGCUGGUCUGAGAGGAUGAUCAGCCACACUGUGACUGAGACACGGCCCAGACUCCUACGGAGGCAGCAGUGGGGAAUAUUGCACAAUGGGCGCAAGCCUGAUGCAGCCAUGCCGCGUGUAUGAAGAAGGCCUUAGGGUUGUAAAGUACUUUCAGUGGGGAGGCGUUACCCACAGAAGAAGCACCGGCUAACUCCGUGCCAGCAGCCGCGGUAAUUC
rnacentral:rRNA from 1 species